rnacentral:rRNA from 1 species
AGUGAACGCUGGCGGUAGGCCUAACACAUGCAAGUCGAACGGCAGCACAGUAAGAGCUUGCUCUUACGGGUGGCGAGUGGCGGACGGGUGAGGAAUACAUCGGAAUCUACUUUUUCGUGGGGGAUAACGUAGGGAAACUUACGCUAAUACCGCAUACGACCUACGGGUGAGAGCAGGGGAUCUUCGGACCUUGCGCGAUUGAAUGCGCCGAUGUCGGAUUAGCUAGUUGGCGGGGGAAAGGCCCACCAAGGCGACGAUCCGUAGCUGGUCUGAGAGGAUGAUCAGCCACACUGGAACUGAGACACGGUCCAGACUCCUGCGGGAGGCAGCAGUGGGGAAUAUUGGACAAUGGGCGCAAGCCUGAUCCAGCCAUACCGCGUGGGUGAAGAAGGCCUUCGGGUUGUAAAGCCGUUUUGUUGGGAAAGAAAAGCAGCAGGUUAAUACCCCGCUGUUCUGACGGUACCCAAAGAAUAAGCACCGGCUAACUUCGUG